UACGUAGGGGGCUAGCGUUGUCCGGAAUCAUUGGGCGUAAAGCGCGUGUAGGCGGUCCUUUAAGUCUGAUGUGAAAGCCCACGGCUCAACCGUGGAGGGUCAUUGGAAACUGGGGGACUUGAGUACAGAAGAGAAGAGUGGAAUUCCACGUGUAGCGGUGAAAUGCGUAGAGAUGUGGAGGAACACCAGUGGCGAAGGCGACUCUUUGGUCUGUAACUGACGCUGAGGCGCGAAAGCGUGGGGAGCAAACAGG
rnacentral:rRNA from 1 species